CACGUAGGGCGCAAGCGUUGUCCGGAAUUAUUGGGCGUAAAGAGCGUGUAGGCGGCCCCGUUAGUCCGCUGUGAAAGUCCAGGGCUCAACCCUGGAAUGCCGGUGGAAACUGUCAGGCUCGAGUCCGGAAGAGGCGAGUGGAAUUCCUGGUGUAGCGGUGAAAUGCGCAGAUAUCAGGAGGAACACCGGUGGCGAAGGCGGAUCUCUGGGCCUGUUCUGACGCUGAGGCGCGAAAGCUAGGGGAGCGAACAGG
rnacentral:rRNA from 1 species